rnacentral:lncRNA from 1 species
GGCCAAUCAAAAAAGGCUAGUGUUAUACAAGAUUGCUUUUUUUUUUUUCCCUCUUUUUAACACUAUCUAAAUAUGAGUGAGAAUUUAUCAAAAAACUGGGAGUACCAUUUGGCGAAACGAGCACCCUGCUGGUAGUAGGCAGCUGUGCGGGAGGAAAGACCGUCAAGGCCCUGGCACCAGGACUCGUUGUUGGAACCAGGGAGGGGUACCAAACCCUGCAUUUAUCAUCAUCGAUUAACAAGUGUUGGUGAAAUUCUGAUCAAACAAAAUUCCAUUGCCUCCUUAAACAUCAUAUGUAUGCGUAACUUGCUAUGAGGUUAUUGGCUUUGGCUUUACCUUGUCAACUUUGAUACCAGGGACAAUGUUUUGCUCAACAAGAACAUCAACCAUCUUUUUUCCAUCGGUGGUAGAUUGGUAGAGAGUCUCCUCGAAAAGGAUAGCUCCAGAGAUGUACUCGCCGAGGCCAGGGGCUGACACCAGAAGGGUACGGUAUGCUUGGCGGUUAGCCUCAGUGUUCUCUAGACCGAUUGAGGCAAGUCUCUUCCCACAUGUAGCAUUUGAUUCGUCCAUGGCCAAAAUACCACGGCCUGGGGAUGCAAUGGUUUUCUACAUCCAGAGGAAAGAAAGGAAAACGCACGUCAAAUGGUGUGUCCUACAUAGUUCAGAAACUCAUUCACAAAAGUAGCAAUAUAAUCUAAUCAAUAAAAUUAAACCACCCAGAAACUACAUAGAUUAAUUUAUUUUACUUGCAAUCUCUUUAACAGGAUUGGUGACUUAUUUUCCUUUUACACUUCUUUGAAUUAAUUUUUUUUUAAGUUCUUUGAAUCACAUACAAUCUGAAUUAUCUAACUAGAUAGAGUGAGCAGUUGCACUUAUAAACUAUUCUAACAUGAAUUCAAGAUAAUGUGUCGGACACAGAAACGUGUCUCACGUGAGUAUCUUGUCUUUUUAAUAACUUAUCGUAUUCAUAUAUAAGAAUAUCAUAGGAAUACGUUAAAGUGACGCAAAUUAGGAAUUUAGUGUAGCAUAGCUUAACUAAGCUAAGCUAAUAUAUAAAAAGAUGGUUCAGGAGAUUAAAUCUAUAUCGAACUCGAAGACUUAAAUAUUUUAUAUAUCGUAUAAGAAGAGUCGAGUAGCAUUGAGUACACAUACCGCGGUCUUAAUAAGCUCAUCAGCGUAGGAACUGGCACGGACGGUGAGGGCUGAUGGGGCGGUGGGGUGGCAUCUGACAACAGAAACUGCAGGCUGGCGGAGGUUUUGGCCCUUAACCCACUCAGAC